AAGUGUGAAAUUUUCCACUUGUGACUUCCUGUCAGCAGUCAGCCUUGGGAGCAUGUUGGAUUUCAGAUUUCCAGAUUAGGGAUGCUCAACCUGUAUUGCCUAGCUUCAGAAGCUAGGUCAUAAAAGGUGGUACAUCUUGCCUUUGGAGUCCAGAUUAACCCACGUACAGAGGCCAAGGAACUACAUGAAGAUAGUGAGCUGCCCAUCCAACCCCCAGCUGCUUCAGCCCCACACUCUCCCAGCCACCAUCUGACUUGAAACCACAGAGGGACCCUGAGCUGAGCCACCCAGCUGAAUCCUUCCAAGGUUCCUGACUCACAGAAACUGGAAGAGAUAAUGACAAUUGUUGCUGUUUCAAUCCACCAAGUUUUGAAGUCGUGUGUUACCCAGCAAUAGAUAACCAGGGCAGUGGCUGACUGGCUGAAUUAGUGAAUGAAUGAAUGAGCUAACAAGCAUAUAAAGCACAGCUUACUACUUCCAAUCUGAUUCAGAAUGAAGUAAAGAACAGAAGCUGGAUGGAGGAGAUGUUGGCAUGCAGUGAGUAGAACAGUGGAAGAAGUACAGUGGAAGGAGAUGGCAAUGAGAGAGGUUGGUAGCAGCUGAUGACAGCUGAGCUGGUAAGGCAUGAUGAGGAGAAUGCAUUGUAUUCCAGAGGCAGCUGAAAGCUAUUGGGAGGCUUUCAAGCAAGGAAGUGACUUAAUUGGAUUUGUAUUUUUAACAGAUAACUGUAGGUACCAUAUUAAGAAUGAAUUGCAUCCAGUAAGAAUGGAAACAUGCAGACCUUUUAUGUAGCCAAAUUGUAGAGACCAAGUGACCUGGACUAGGGAGGUGGCCAGAAAGAUGAAGAGAUGUAGAUGGAUUCAGUAUCUAGGACUUGCUAAUAGAUAGCAUGUAUGGGGGAGUAGGGCAUUGGGUUUAGCAACAGGAUGGAUGGCAGUCCAGUCUGCUACAAUAGGGGCAGCUAAGGUAGAAACAUGUUUAGAGUUUAAAAUACAAAGUUCUGCUUGGGAUAUGUGAGAUAGAUUACAAAGUCCACCAUGAAAUUUUGGGGAGGUAUGGAUAUGUUCAUCACUUCAAUUGUGCUGUUGGUUUCAUGGAUGUAUACACAGACUACAGUCCAUCCCCUUGCAAAUUUAAAUAUGUGCAGUGAGUCAAUUAUAUCUCAAUAAGCCUGUAUUUUAAAAAGCUACAAGGAACAAUGACAAAAAAGUAAGAUGUUUAUUCACCAAAUAGAGAUGCCAAUAAGCUAUUGGAUAUGAGUUCAGAACUGAACAAAGAAUAUCUCAUGAGAUUUUUCCUGACAAAUUCAGAAACUUGAAGAUGAACUUUUCAACCAGUUAGUGUCAGGGCUCAGCUUAACUGAAGGAGCACAGAAUUAAAAACUAGAAGAUGUGGGUUCUGGUUCCUAACAGAUCCUGGAUAGCUGGAAACCUUAAAUAUGCCACUAAAUCCCUGCUUAAUCAUGUUUUGCAUCAGUAAAAUAAGGAAAAUCAUAUUUUACUGGAGGGAGGAUACACUUGGUACUGUUGCAGAAAUGUUUGCAAAAGUUAAAAUUGCUCCAUAAAUCUCAGUUGCUCUGAGUAUUAUUCAAUAGGAGAAUACUUCAAAGAUGUGGUGGCUUGAAGAAAGCCUUUGGUCAAAAUAGACUAUAAACAAGAAACACAAGCAAAACUAACAAUGUUCCAAGAAAAGAGAAUAUUAUUUUUUAUUUAUUUUAUAGCCAGAACUCAAUGCUAUUCUCCCCUGUUAGUCUUAAGAAAAACAGAACUUAAAGGUUCUUUGUGGACUGAAAUGUAUCCAAAGUUAUUGUCUAUAAAGCAUACAUAAUCUUGUACCUUUUAAAACAUCACUAAAUAAUUAUUAUGAGAACACUGGGAUGGGAAUGGGUAAUCAAUAUUCUAAAUGUUCCAUGAGUGUAAUUUCUCUCUUUACAAAGCAUUCUCUGCAAGAUAUACUGUCUUGUUGAAGUGUGUUUAAAAAUAAAUAAGAUAAUACCAGCCUUGGGGGUUACACAUAAGCAGCCAGCCGUUUAAAGACUCAUUAAUCACUGAUUUAAAUCUCAGGGUCUCCAGCCAUCCAAAUUAAUGCCUGAGAUCUUGACUUGAGUCAUAAUGUAAGCUAACAAGUCAGCUGUUUCAGCCCUCACAUGAUAGGGAUGUGUGUGCUCUUUACUUUUAAGCUUAACAUGUAAGCUUAACAAGUUCCCUAAAACACAAACUAAUAGCUUUCUAAUAAAAUUUAUAUUUUACAGAAAGAAUCCACUGUGAAGAGAAAGGGUUGAGUUUAUUUCACUACUUAUUAAAUAGUACUACGUGUUUUUAAAAAAAUAGAGACCACAAGAUAUUUACAGUCAACUUGUACACAUUGCCCCUGCCUCCAAAUUAUCCUGCCACCUCAUGUAACUAAAGAGUGAUGUGUUCCAACACUGCA